AAACAAGAGGAAGAGGAGGAGAAGGAAGCAGGAGAACCCGGCAAAAUAAUGGAAGAACCUGGGGAAGUUGACAAAAGCCUUGAGGAGCUCAGGGCAGCGCUGGGUGAGUCCAGAAUUCCCAAAGUGGGGCCAAACCCCACGGUGGGAGGGUUUAAAUCAGGGGUUUUGAUCUAAAAUUUGGGGUUGUUCAGUUAAUAUUUGGGGUUUGGAUUUAAA